rnacentral:ncRNA from 1 species
AAUAACGCGAUGAACAAGAGUAGUAAGGGCUCAUGUCUCUGGUACAGAAAGCUGCGGGUUGAUGCGACGCAGACCGAGAACGCCCCGAACUCGCUUGGAAGCGGUCAUCUUGAUCGGCUGGUAACAGCUGUUAGGGAUGAACGGAUGACCUCCGUGAUCGGGUGAUGUAGCGAGCAGCUUGCUGGCUACAUCUGAGGUGGGCUCCUUAACGGAGUCAACAAGAGUGGUACCGCGCUGGGUGAAGACCCGUCGUCUCUUAU